rnacentral:rRNA from 1 species
UACCAGCACCCCGAGUGGUCGGGACGUUUAUUGGGCCUAAAGCAUCCGUAGCCGGUUCUACAAGUCUUCCGUUAAAUCCACCUGCUCAACAGAUGGGCUGCGGAAGAUACUAUGGAGCUAGGAGGCAGGAGAGGCAAGCGGUACUCGAUGGGUAGGGGUAAAAUCCGUUGAUCCAUUGAAGACCACCAGUGGCGAAGGCGGCUUGCCAGAACGCGCUCGACGGUGAGGGAUGAAAGCUGGGGGAGCAAACCGG